rnacentral:lncRNA from 1 species
AAAAGUCAAAUUUCAAGUGUACAGUUAAAGAUCCAGGGGCAAAAUGGUCCAACUUGAGAAAUAAUGGGAAUUUUUGAAUGGGGAUUUUUGCAACACAUCACAAAUGCUGUUUGGAAAUGGUUUGAAUCAUCAUAACAUGCCAAGGCCUCAUGGUUUGAUAUUUCACUUUUGGAAUGAACUUGAAAAUGCAUAACAUAGCCAUGACAUAGUGAAAUUCUAAAAUACAUAUCCAAUCAACAUGAAACAAGUGG